rnacentral:rRNA from 1 species
CCGGCGCACGGGUGCGUAACGCGUAUGCAAUCUGCCUUGUACUGAGGGAUAGCCCAGAGAAAUUUGGAUUAACACCUCAUAGUAUUUUUGCCUGGCAUCAGGUGAUUAUUAAAGGUUACGGUACAAGAUGAGCAUGCGUCCCAUUAGCUAGUUGGUAUGGUAACGGCAUACCAAGGCUACGAUGGGUAGGGGUCCUGAGAGGGAGAUCCCCCACACUGGUACUGAGACACGGACCAGACUCCUACGGGAGGCAGCAGUGAGGAAUAUUGGUCAAUGGGCGCAAGCCUGAACCAGCCAUGCCGCGUGCAGGAUGAAGCAUCUAUGGUGUGUAAACUGCUUUUGUACGGGAAGAAACACUGCUACGUGUAGCAGCUUGACGGUACCGUAAGAAUAAGGAUCGGCUAACUCCGUGCCAGCAGCCGCGGUAAUACGGAGGAUCCAAGCGUUAUCCGGAAUCAUUGGGUUUAAAGGGUCCGUAGGCGGUUUUAUAAGUCAGUGGUGAAAUCCGGCAGCUCAACUGUCGAAUUGCCAUUGAUACUGUAGAACUUGAAUCAUUGUGAAGUAACUAGAAUAUGUAGUGUAGCGGUGAAAUGCUUAGAUAUUACAUGGAAUACCAAUUGCGAAGGCAGGUUACUAACAAUGUAUUGACGCUGAUGGACGAAAGCGUGGGUAGCGAACAGGAUUAGAUACCCUGGUAGUCCACGCUGUAAACGAUGGAUACUAGCUGUUUGACUGU